GGACAAGGGAGUCCGGCGGAGUGCUCGGAUGAAAGAGCGGGAGCGUUGAAGAGGCGAGGAUUGACGGAGCGGUCGGACGACGCGGAGGCGUUGAAGAGAGGGAGUUUGGGGGGGCGGUUGGAGGAAGAGGAGGCGUCGAAGAAGAGGUCGAGGUUGGAGGAGAGGUCGGAUGGAGAGGAGGCGUUGAGGAAGAGGUCGAGGUUGGAGGAGUACGUGUGUGUGUAGUUG